rnacentral:rRNA from 1 species
AGAAGAAAGUGCGUGAGAGUAACUGUUCACGUUUCGACGGUAUCUAACCAGAAAGCCACGGCUAACUACGUCCCAGCAGCCGCGGUAAUACGUAGGUGGCAAGCGUUAUCCGGAUUUAUUGGGCGUAAAGGGAACGCAGGCGGUCUUUUAAGUCUGAUGUGAAAGCCUUCGGCUUAACCGGAGUAGUGCAUUGGAAACUGGGAGACUUGAGUGCAGAAGAGGAGAGUGGAACUCCAUGUGUAGCGGUGAAAUGCGUAGAUAUAUGGAAGAACACCAGUGGCGAAAGCGGCUCUCUGGUCUGUAACUGACGCUGAGGUUCGAAAGCGUGGGUAGCAAACAGGAUUAGAUACCCUGGUAGUCCACGCCGUAAACGAUGAAUGCUAAGUGUUGGAGGGUUUCCGCCCUUCA